AUUGAACGCUGGCGGCAGGCCUAACACAUGCAAGUCGAACGAGUGGCGGACGGGUGAGUAAUGGCUGGGAAACUGCCCGAUGGAGGGGGAUAACUACUGGAAAAGGUAGAUAAUACCGCAUACCAUGGGAUGGGCCCAGGUGGGAUGAGCUAGUAGGUGGGGUAACGGCGCACCGAGGGGACGAUCCCUAGCUGGUCUGAGAGGGUGACCAGCCACACUGGAACUGAGACACGGCCCAGACUCCUACGGGAGUCAGCAGUGGGGAAUAUUGCCCAAUGGGCGCAAGCCUGAUGCAGCCAUGCCGCGUGUAUGAAGAAGGCCUUCGGGUUGUAAAGUACUUUCCGCGAGGAGGCGUUACUCGCAGAAGAAGCACCGGCUAACUCCGUGCCAGCCGCCGCGGUAAUAC
rnacentral:rRNA from 1 species